rnacentral:rRNA from 1 species
GAUGAACGCUGGCGGCGUGCCUAAUACAUGCAAGUCGAACGCUGGAGAUCUAGCUUGCUAGAUCGAAGGAGUGGCGAACGGGUGAGUAAUACAUAAGCAACCUACCCACGAAGACUGGGAUAAUCUCUGGAAACGGGGACUAAUACCGGAUAGGUAAUCGGAAGGCAUCUUCUGGUUAUUAAAGGUUAAAAACACUGGUGGAUGGGCUUAUGGCGCAUUAGUUAGUUGGUGAGGUAACGGCCCACCAAGACGAUGAUGCGUAGCCGGCCUGAGAGGGUGAACGGCUACAUUGGGACUGAGACACGGCCCAGACUCCUACGGGAGGCAGCAGUAGGGAAUUUUCGGCAAUGGGGGCAACCCUGACCGAGCAACGCCGCGUGAGUGAAGACGGCCUUCGGGUUGUAAAGCUCUGUUGUAAGGGAAGAACGGUAGAUAGAGAAUAUCUAAGUGACGGUACCUUACCAGAAAGCCACGGCUAACUACGUG